CGGACGGGUGAGUAACGCGUGGGUAACCUGCCUUGUACUGGGGGACAACAGUUAGGAAUGACUGCUAAUACCGCAUAAGCGCACAGUAUCGCAUGAUACAGUGUGAAAAACUCCGGUGGUACAAGAUGGACCCGCGUCUGAUUAGCUAGUUGGUAAGGUAACGGCUUACCAAGGCGACGAUCAGUAGCCGACCUGAGAGGGUGACCGGCCACAUUGGGACUGAGACACGGCCCAA
rnacentral:rRNA from 1 species